rnacentral:lncRNA from 1 species
UUCAUAUGUUAUAUGCAUUUGAGAUGUUGAGUUGAGGGACAAACCACACAUAAUGCAAACAAUGACAAGAAACACAUUGAGUUUAGAAAUACAUUUUGGAAUGAUGGUAGUAGCAAGAGAAUAGAGGCAAAAGACAAUCUUUACCAAGAAUCUUCUUCUAGACUAAACUUAUCACUAGUCUAGUUUUCUUAUUAAAAACAAAUACUAGAGAUAUGUUUACAUCAACUUGGAAAUACACUAAGUACAUAGGUGUAGUAGGAUCUCAUCUUAUCUUGAAGUUGGAUUUACAACCCAAAAACAAUGCAUAAGAAGUUUAGAAAUACAUUUUUGGAAAUCUUUAAUAACUUAAGGUAGAUUCCAAUUAUGCUAAAUAUUUCUUAUGAGUUUUUUAAAAACCCUAAAAAUAUCUUAUCACACUCUAAUCAACU